AGUUCCGGAAGUGGAAAGAGCCAGUGGGAAAGCUGACUAACCUCUACGGCGCGUCGGCGGCGCCUUCAUGAGGCAUGACGGGAAUUGUAGUCUUCUUAGGCUUCUUUUCCUCCUAUGUGGAAAACGUAACUGUGGUUUCCGGGGCACAGCUGAAGGGGGCAGCAAUGAGAAAGCCUUUUUCCAAUCUGUAAAGGGGAGGAGAGGACGCGGGGCUCACUGUCGAGGAGGUGCUCUGCGCCGCCUCCCUGAGACGGCCUCUUAUAUAGUGUUCUUAUACACGGAAACAUAAUGCUGCUUCUAUAGGACAUCAUUUCUCAAGAAGAAUUAAGAGUUGUUCUUCAAUAUCAACUUUAAAUGGAUGUCUUAAAAUUCAGUUAACCUAGGGGCGCCUGUGUGGCUCAGUCGUUAAGCGCUGCUUUCGACUCAGGUCAUGAUCCCAGGGUCCUCAGAUCGGGCUGCACAUGGGGCACCCUGCUCGGCGGGAAGCCUGCUUCUCCCUCUCCCACUCCCCCUGCUUGUGUUCCCUCUCUCGCUGUGUCUCUGUCAAAUAUAUAAAUAAAGUCUUAAAAAAAAUUCAAUUGAUCUGUAAA